ACCUCAGUAGCGUAGUGUUUAACGCACCGCCCCUGAUAGGCGCAAGACGCGGGUUCGAAUCCCGCCUGAGGUG
rnacentral:tRNA from 1 species